rnacentral:rRNA from 1 species
UACGGAGGAUCCAAGCGUUAUCCGGAUUUAUUGGGUUUAAAGGGUGCGUAGGCGGUUUAAUAAGUCAGUGGUGAAAUCUUGCAGCUUAACUGUAAAAUUGCCAUUGAUACUGCUAGACUUGAGUAUAGUUGAGGUGGGCGGAAUGUGUUGUGUAGCGGUGAAAUGCAUAGAUAUAACACAGAACACCAAUUGCGAAGGCAGCUCACUAAGCUAUAACUGACGCUGAGGCACGAGAGCGUGGGUAGCGAACAGGAUUAGAUACCCUGGUAGUCCACGCCGUAAACGAUGAUUACUCGUUGCAAGCGAUAUACUGUUUGUGACUGAGCGAAAGCAUUAAGUAAUCCACCUGGGGAGUACGUUGGCAACGAUGAA